GACGAACGCUGGCGGCGUGCUUAACACAUGCAAGUCGAACGGAAAGGCCCUGCUUUUGUGGGGUGCUCGAGUGGCGAACGGGUGAGUAGCACGUGAGUAACCUGCCCUUGACUUUGGGAUAACUUCAGGAAACUGGGGCUAAUACCGGAUAGGAGUUCCUGCUGCAUGGUGGGGGUUGGAAAGUUUCGGCGGUUGGGGAUGGACUCGCGGCUUAUCAGCUUGUUGGUGGGGUAGUGGCUUACCAAGGCUUUGACGGGUAGCCGGCCUGAGAGGGUGACCGGCCACAUUGGGACUGAGAUACGGCCCAGACUCCUACGGGAGGCAGCAGUGGGGAAUAUUGCACAAUGGGCGGAAGCCUGAUGCAGCAACGCCGCGUGCGGGAUGACGGCCUUCGGGUUGUAAACCGCUUUCGCCUGUGACGAAGCGUGAGUGACGGUAAUGGGUAAAGAAGCACCGGCUAACUACGUG
rnacentral:rRNA from 1 species